rnacentral:rRNA from 1 species
UACGUAGGGGGCAAGCGUUGUCCGGAUUUAUUGGGCGUAAAGGGCGCGUAGGCGGCCACCGCAAGUCGACUGUGAAAUCUCCGGGCUUAACUCGGAAAGGUCAGCCGAUACUGCGGGGCUAGAGUGCAGAAGGGGCAACUGGAAUUCUCGGUGUAGCGGAUGAAUGCGUAGAUAUCGAGAGGAACACCUGCGGCGAAGGCGGGUUGCUGGGCUGACACUGACGCUGAGGCGCGAAAGCUAGGGGAGCGAACGGG